rnacentral:tRNA from 1 species
GCCUCCGUGGUGUAAUAGAAGCACACUCGGCGCGUGUUCGAGAGGUCCAGGUUCGAAUCCCGGCGAGAGCA